rnacentral:lncRNA from 1 species
UGCACACACCAUGCACUAGUUACACUUUCCGUCUACGACUCACACACUGCACCAUCUAAAAAAUUUCACUUUUAGCAUUUAGGAGGGGAUCCGAGCAGAAGGAAAAAAAAAAUGUGAGAGGUAAGAAGGAUGAAAAGACUGCUUUCUUCUUCAGUUUUAGUUUCCAUCUCUAUUGUUUCAAAAUCAGAAAAUUUUCAGCCAUAAAAAUUUCAUAAUUCGAGCUUCAAUUCAGACCCAUAUCACUAAAUAUGGCACCUUAAUACCACCUGAAAUUAGUGUCGAUUUCCGUUCGAAGUUCCGAUCAUGAGUCAGCUGCUGGGUUGUAUCAUCAAAUGUCUCGUGCUCGUGAUUGUUCGGCGCAUUUUGUUGAAAUUUUUGUUAUAUAUAGAAGAAAGCAUUACUCAAAAGGUUCAAUUUCCCCUUUUGCUUAUGAUAAAUUAUCAUCGACAUCUUAUUGAAUGUGUUUAUCUGUUUGUUUGAAAUCUACAAGUUGUGCCAUCCCGUCACUGUUGAUUAUCUUUUUGUGGUAUAGAUAUUUUUGGUGCUAUUUCCUACAUGUAUGAUAAAUCUGUAACUCACUAGUUAUGCAACUUUCGUUUAGUUUUGUAGUGUUGAUGUUAAUGAAAGGCAACGAAAAAGAAAACAAAAGUUGUAAGACAAUUUUAUCUAGCUUUUUAUACAUUAUUUAGUUGAACAAAUAAAGCUAUGUGGUAUGGUUAUAAAAGGACGUGAAAAGAGCAUGAAUUGUUGUUUGAUAAAUAUAUGUAGAAGUUAAGUGAAUUGGUUGGAUGUUUAUAAUUCCAUUUUUGUUUGAUCUACUAUUAUUCUUAUGAAC